rnacentral:lncRNA from 1 species
UGCCCUGGAGGAUCACGCGCUCGUGGUAUGUAAGGACUGUGUGCCCAGAGGAUCACAUGCUCGUGCUGUGUAAGGACUGCGUGCCCAGCAGGGAGCUCAUCCCCUACCAGGGAGCAGGGCACUCACAAGACACCGCGGACACGGGGCCGAGUCAGUCCUCUGGUCCUAGGCCUUGGCAGGACGCUCCAGCAGCCCACAGGACAGGUGAAAGGGCUCUGGAAGAGAAGAAAAAUGCUCCCACCCCGUUAGACUGUCUGCAAGAUAUCAUCUCAGCACCCUGCACAGAAUGUCCACUGCCUCUCCCAUAGGCCCUGGGAGGAAAGAGCAAAAAGGGGUGGUCAUCCAGGCUGGACACCAGAGUCCCUGUUCUCAGCUGAGUCCCCCAAGACAUCACUGCCACCCAAAACAGAGGACCUCGCAGUGUGGCCACUCUGCCUGGAGGCCAAGGGGAGGAGAAGGAUCCUUGCUGGCUUUUUUGGCUCCCUGAUCUGGAGGCCUUUCCUCAUUCUCACUGUGAGGAAAGACUCCCCUACCAGCCGUGAGUUCCCCUAUUUUCCCAUCCACCUAGGUGGGCACUUCCGUUCAAAAGGGUUAAGCCAUCCAGGCGCAGUGGCACACGCCUGUAAUCCCAGCACUUUGGGAGGCCGAGGCGGGCAGAUCACCUGAGGUCAAGAGUUCCAGACCAGCCUGGCCAACAUGGUGAAACCCUGUCUCUGCUAAAAAUACAAAAAAAAAAAAAAAUUACCUGAGCGUGGUGGCAGACACCUGUAAUCCCAGCUACUCAUGAGGCUGAGGCAGGAGAAUCACUUGAACCCAGGAGUCAGAGGUUGCAGUGAGCCAAGAUCACUCCAUUGCACUCCAGCCUGGGCAACAAGAACAAAACUCCAACUAAAAAAGAAAAAAAACAGGAGCCACUGCUAACUGUUCCACAGACUCUUGAAAAGGUUAAACAGGUUAAUACAUGGAAAGGGCUUAGUUGGAAUGACUAACACAUAGCAAGCAAUAUAUGAACAUCACAUGAAUAAAAAAUGUGGCAACAGGUCCCAUUGUUCUUUUUGUUGAAUAUGUCUUCUACCUAUUUAUCAAAAUUCCAUUAAACUCGCCCAGUUGACACAUGUGCUCUCCUCCCACAUAAAACCCACAUGUCCCAGACUCUCUUGCAACUAGGUCUGGUCAUGUCACCAUGCCCCUGGAUCUGAGUGUUUUGUUCUUUGGGGUUUUUUGGGGGGGUUGGGGGAAGGGUCUUGCUCUGUCACCCAGGCUGGAGUGCAGUGGGGAUGAUCAUGGCUCACUGUAGCCUCUAAUUCCUGGGCUUAAGUGAUCCUCCUGACUCAGCCUCCCAGAUGGCUGGGAUUACAGGUGCACCACCCUGCCUGGCUAAUUUGGGGAGUUUUUGUGUUUUAUUUUUGUAGAUAUGGGGUCUCACUAUGUUGCCCAGUCUGGUCUUGAACUCCUGGCUUCCAGCAAUCCUCCUGCCUCCGCCUCCCAAAGUGCUGGGAUUACAGGUGUGAGCGACCAUGCCCAACCUGGAUCUGAGUGUUGUGUGGCAAUUUCUGGAACCUUACUGCAAAGAAGGCUGGGGCUGGCCUUUUGCACCCCUUCUGUACCCUAUCCUCCAAGCUGUUUCUGGAGUUGCCAUCUGCAACCACAGGAAUGAGGCCGCACCCUGGGGAUGAGAACAGUAAGCUGGAAGGAGCCUGUGCCCCGGACACUGCAGAGCCCCUCUCCAGCCCCGGGCUGCUCCAAAUGGGCUUCUACAUGACACAGAAAGAAACUUUCCUUUUGUUUAAGCCCCCAAGCAAAUACACUUUCCCAGUAGCCAUGAAGAUGAAAACAGUGGCCCCAGACUUGGGCACUCCAGCUGAGAAUGCCAGUCGGGAACCCACACACCAAAGGACGACUCUCUCACACCACAGGAGGUACUGCACAUGCCUUCUGAAUCCCGGAAGGACAAGCCUGGGCAUUGUAGGCAAGCAAUCCACCUCAACCCAUGGGCUUUGACUCUCACAGAUGAGAAAUGUAAGGACUCAUCCUCUGUGGCUCACUCCCUCAAAGAGUUUCUCACGUGGGCCUCUGCCUUUAGAAGUCGGGUUUUGGCUGGGCGCGGUGACUCAUGCCUGCAAUCCCAGCACUUUGGGAGGCUGAGAAUGGGAGGAUCGUUUCAGCCAGGAGUUCAAGACCAGCCUGCGCCACAUAAGGAGACCCCGUCUCCACAAAAAAUAAAAUAAAAAUAAAAAUAAAA